GUUAUUAUACAACUUUAAGUGCAGUGUUGUGCAGUGCUCAAAAAUUGGAUUAUUAUCAAAAGCAGUCGACUACCCAUGGAUUACCAAUCUUCCAGAUUCCAGAUUCAACAAAUGAUGGCAGCACUAAUCGGAUGGACUUGGAGAUAGAUGUUAAUUGUUGCGACAAUUACAAAAGCAACAGCAGGCCGCCUACCAGUACACAUAAAUUUAUCUUGAUCGGGGUGAUCUAUUAAGAUGUUUAAGAAGAUGUAUCAACACCAA